UGGCUCAGAACGAACGCUGGCGGCGCGUCUUAAGCAUGCAAGUCGAACGGCAAGAGAGAAGCUUGCUUCUCUCCUAGAGUGGCGGACUGGUGAGGAACACGUGGGUAAUCUACCCUUAAGAUGGGGAUAGCUGUUAGAAAUAGCAGGUAAUACCGAAUAGGCUCAGUGCUUCAUAAGAGGCGUUGAGGAAAGGGAGCUACGGCUCCGCUUGAGGAUGAGCUUGCGUCCCAUUAGCUAGUUGGUGAGGUAAAGGCCCACCAAGGCGACGAUGGGUAUCCGGCCUGAGAGGGCGAUCGGACACAUUGGGACUGAGAUACGGCCCAAACUCCUACGGGAGGCAGCAGCUAAGAAUAUUCCGCAAUGGACGAAAGUCUGACGGAGCGACGCCGCGUGGAUGAAGAAGGCUGAAAAGUUGUAAAAUCCUUUUGUUGAUGAAGAAUAAGGGGAAGAGGGAAUGCUUCUCUGAUGACGGUAAUCAGCGAAUAAGCCCCGGCUAAUUACGUGCCAGCAGCCGCGGUAACACGUAAGGGGCGAGCGUUGUUCGGAAUUAUUGGGCGUAAAGGGCAUGUAGGCGGCUAUGUAAGCCUGAUGUGAAAUCCUGGGGCUUAACCCUAGAAUAGCAUUGGGUACUGUGUAGCUUGAAUUACGGAAGGGAAACUGGAAUUCCAAGUGUAGGGGUGGAAUCUGUAGAUAUUUGGAAGAACACCGGUGGCGAAGGCGGGUUUCUGGCCGAUAAUUGACGCUGAGAUGCGAAAGUGUGGGGAUCGAACAGGAUUAGAUACCCUGGUAGUCCACACCGUAAACGAUGUACACUAGGUGUUGGGGCAAGAGCUUCAGUGCCAAAGCAAACGCGAUAAGUGUACCGCCUGGGGAGUAUGCCCGCAAGGGUGAAACUCAAAGGAAUUGACGGGGGCCCGCACAAGCGGUGGAGCAUGU
rnacentral:rRNA from 1 species